GAUGAACGCUGGCGGCGUGCCUAAUACAUGCAAGUCGAGCGAACAGAUAAGGAGCUUGCUCCUUUGACGUUAGCGGCGGACGGGUGAGUAACACGUGGGUAACCUACCUAUAAGACUGGAAUAACUCCGGGAAACCGGGGCUAACGCCGGAUAACAUUUAGAACCGCAUGGUUCUAAAGUGAAAGAUGGCUUUGCUAUCACUUAUAGAUGGACCCGGGCCGUAUUAGCUAGUUGGUAAGGUAACGGCUUACCAAGGCAACGAUACGUAGCCGACCUGAGAGGGUGAUCGGCCACACUGGAACUGAGACGCGGUCCAGACGCCUACGGGAGGCAGCAGUAGGGAAUCUUCCGCAAUGGGCGAAAGCCUGACGGAGCAACGCCGCGUGAGUGAUGACGGUCUUCGGAUCGUAAAACUCUGUUAUUAGGGAAGAACAAAUGUGUAAGUAAAUGUGCACGUCUUGACGGUACCUAAUCAGAAAGCCACGGCUAACUACGUG
rnacentral:rRNA from 1 species